rnacentral:rRNA from 1 species
CGAACGCUGGCGGCGUGCUUAACACAUGCAAGUCGAACGGUGAAGCGCCUUCCUUUUUGGUGGGUGUGGAUGAGUGGCGAACGGGUGAGUAACACGUGAGUAACCUGCCCCCUUCUUCUGGAUAACCGCAUGAAAGUGUGUCUAAUACGGGAUAUUCUGGGUCUGUCGCAUGAUGGGUCUGGGAAAGAUAUUGUUUCGGUGGGGGAUGGGCUCGCGGCCUAUCAGCUUGUUGGUGGGGUGAUGGCCUACCAAGGCGGUGACGGGUAGCCGGCCUGAGAGGGUGGACGGUCACACUGGGACUGAGACACGGCCCAGACUCCUACGGGAGGCAGCAGUGGGGAAUAUUGCACAAUGGGCGCAAGCCUGAUGCAGCGACGCCGCGUGAGGGAUGGAGGCCUUCGGGUUGUGAACCUCUUUCGCCAGUGAAGCAGGCCUGCCUCGUUUGUGGGUGGGUUGACGGUAGCUGGAUAAGAAGCGCCGGCUAACUACGU